rnacentral:rRNA from 1 species
UACGUAGGGUGCGAGCGUUGUCCGGAAUUAUUGGGCGUAAAGAGCGUGUAGGCGGCUCGGUAAGUCCGCUGUGAAAGUCCAGGGCUCAACCCUGGAAUGCCGGUGGAAACUGUCGAGCUAGAGUCCGGAAGAGGCGAGUGGAAUUCCUGGUGUAGCGGUGAAAUGCGCAGAUAUCAGGAGGAACACCAAUGGCGAAGGCAGCUCGCUGGGACGGUACUGACGCUGAGACGCGAAAGCGUGGGGGAGCAAACAGG